CGCGGGGGGGCGUGCUAUACAUGCAAGUCGAGCGAAUGGAUUAAGAGCUUACUCUUAUGACGUUAGCGGCGGACGGGUGAGUAACACGUGGGUAACCUGCCCAUAAGACUAGGAUAACUCAGGGAAACCGGGGCUAAUACCGGAUAACAUUUUGAACCGCAUGGUUCGAACUUGAAAGGCAGCUUCGGCUGUCACUUAUGGAUGGACCCGCGUCGCAUUAGCUAGUUGGUCAGGUAACGGAUCACCAAGGCAACGAUGCGUAGCCGACCUGAGAGGGUGAUCGGCCACACAGGGACUGAGCCACGGCCCAGACUCCUACGGGAGGCAGCAGUAGGGAAUCUUCCGCAAUGAACGAAAGUCAGACGGAGCAACGCCGCGUGAGUGAUGAAGGCUUUCGGGUCGUAAAACUCGGUUGUUAGGAAAGAACAAGUGCUAGUUGAAUAAGCUGGCACCUUGACGGUACCUAGCCACAAAGCCACGACUAACUACGUGCCAGCAGCCGCGGUAAUACGUAGGUGGCAAGCGUUAUCCGGAAUUAUUCGGCGUAAAGCGCGCGCAGGUGGUUUCUUAAGUCUGAUGUGAAAGCCCACAGCUCAACCGCGGAGGGUCAUUGGAAACUGGGAGACUUGAGUGCAGAAGAGGAAAGUGGAGUUCCAUGUGCAGCGGUGAAAUGCGUAGAGAUAUGGAGGAACACCAGUGGCGAAGGCGACAUUCUGGUCUAUAACUGACACUGAGGCGCGAAAGCGUGGGGAGCAAACAGGAUUAGAUACCCUGGUAGUCAACGCCGUAAACGAUGAGUGCUAAGUGUUAGAGGGUUUCCGCCCUUUAGUACUGAAGUUACCCCAUUAAGCACUCCCCCUGGGGAGUACGGCCGCAAGGCUGAAACUCAAGGGAAUUGACUGGGGCCCGCCCAAGCGGUGGAGCAUGUGGUUUAAUUGGAAGCAACGCGACGACCCUUACUAGGUCUUGACAUCUUCUGACAACCCUAGAGAUAGGGCUUCUCCUUCGGGCGCAGAGUGAAAGGUGGUGCAUGGUUGUCGUCAGUCGUGUCGUGAGAUGUUGGGUUAAGUGCCGCAACGAACGCAACCCUUGAUCUUAGUUGCCAUCAUUAAGUUGGCCACUUUAAGGUGCCUGCCGGUGCCAAACCGGAGGAAGGUGGGGAUGACGUCAAAUCAUCAUGCCCCUUAUGCACUGGGCUAC
rnacentral:rRNA from 2 species